rnacentral:rRNA from 1 species
GAUGAACGCUGGCGGCGUGCCUAAUACAUGCAAGUCGAGCGAAUGGAUUAAGAGUUUGCUCUUAUGAAGUUAGCGGCGGACGGGUGAGUAACACGUGGGUAACCUGCCCAUAAGACUGGGAUAACUCCGGGAAACCGGGGCUAAUACCGGAUAACAUUUUGAACCGCAUGGUUCGAAAUUGAAAGGCGGCUUCGGCUGUCACUUAUGGAUGGACCCGCGUCGCAUUAGCUAGUUGGUGAGGUAACGGAUCACCAAGGCAACGAUGCGUAGCCGACCUGGGAGGGUGAUCGGCCACACUGGGAACGAGACACGGCCCAGACUCCUACGGGAGGCAGCAGUAGGGAAUCUUCCGCAAUGGACGAAAGUCUGACGGAGCAACGCCGCGUGAGUGAUGAAGGCUUUCGGGUCGUAAAACUCUGUUGUUAGGGAAGAACAAGUGCUAGUUGAAUAAGCUGGCACCUUGACGGUACCUAACCAGAAAGCCACGGCUAACUACGUGCCAGCAGCCGCCGUAA